AUUAAUUUUUUUAUUCGAACUGAUGUUGUGGUGUAAUAUGUAUGAUAUGAUAGGUAUAAACGUGUGGUACAUAAUGGCAUGCUCUACGUAAAUGUUAACGUCGUAUUUUGUAAAUUUUUCGUCAAAAUUUCACGUAUCAUUCGGGCAUGUUGCUUUUUAGAGGAUUUAUCUGAUGUAGAAUAGCACUUGUUUACAAUACUCAAGCUAAGAAUGAACACCUCUGGUGCUUCCGUACCUCCCCGUGGCCAUAUCGCCACAACUACAUCAAGCACUAGAAUGCAGAUAAACCCGAAAAUACAUUUUGAUUGCAAUUAUUUUUCAAAAAUAGACGGUCAACUUAAAUUUUUUGAAAUAUUACUCAGUUGCGUAGUUUUAUUUGUCAUGACACAGACAUACCCACGCGUAUACGCGAGCGAAGGGUAUGGAUAUGAAACAUUGAGAGAUCUGUGUGACUUUGUUAUACUAUGGAAUACAAUUUUCAUUAUUUUAUACAUGUUUCACGUUACUGAAAAGUUUCUUCAAAUACCUUGGUUUAUAAUCGAGCUUGUGAGUGCCGCAUUUUUUGGAGUCUUGUAUUUUCUUUGUGGACUGUUGUUUAUCUCAUAUAUGAUGUAUAGGCAUUCUGGCAACACUGUGUUGUUGUUCAUGACUGUUGUGCUGGCAUCCAUAUUUAUUUACGACGCUUACAUAAAAUUCCGAUAUGUGCAAGGAGGACAAAUUUCGCUCGGCCGAAUCUUCAUUGAAAGUGCAGAGAUUCAUCAAUCAGGAUCUUGGUAUUGAAUGUUCUUUUUGGUUGCUCAACCACAUCCGUAAUUAUUAUUUUAAUGGUACAUACUAAUGAAAUAUUUGUCUUCUGCAAUCCAUUCAAGUUUUUGUUUUGUUGUUUUACAUUUUUUUUUAGUACGCAAUUAGUUCGUAUUAAAAUCCUAAAAUUUUCAAAAAUGCUUCAUUGUUUACUUCACGCAAAAAAAACAACUAAACUAAAUGAAUAUUUUUUACCUUUGUGAGGUAUUAAAUUUAUUUUUAAGUGAAUAACUACUCACCUAAUUUGAUAUUUUUACGUUUCAUAAAUCAAAUUAUACAUAAUUUUUA